GAUAAACGCUGGCGGCGCACAUAAGACAUGCAAGUCGAACGGACUUAACCAUUAGUUUACUGAUGGAGCGGUUAGUGGCGGACUGGUGAGUAACACGUAAGCAAUCUGCCUAUCAGAGGGGAACAACAGUUAGAAAUGACUGCUAAUACCGCAUAUGCCUAAGUAACACAUGUUACAAUAGGGAAAGGAGCAAUCCGCUGAUAGAUGAGCUUGCGUCUGAUUAGAUAGUUGGUGGGGUAACGGCCUACCAAGUCGACGAUCAGUAGCCGGACUGAGAGGUUGAACGGCCACAUUGGGACUGAGAUACGGCCCAGACUCCUACGGGAGGCAGCAGUCGGGAAUAUUGGGCAAUGGGCGAAAGCCUGACCCAGCGACGCCGCGUGCGGGAAGAAGGUCUUCGGAUUGUAAACCGCUGUAGACAGGGACGAAACAAAUGACGGUACCUGUAAAGUAAGCCACGGCUAACUACGUG
rnacentral:rRNA from 1 species